rnacentral:rRNA from 1 species
GACGAACGCUGGCGGCGUGCUUAACACAUGCAAGUCGAACGGAAAGGCCCUGCUUUUGUGGGGUGCUCGAGUGGCGAACGGGUGAGUAACACGUGAGUAACCUGCCCUUGACUUUGGGAUAACUUCAGGAAACUGGGGCUAAUACCGGAUAGGAGCUCCUGCUGCAUGGUGGGGGUUGGAAAGUUUCGGCGGUUGGGGAUGGACUCGCGGCUUAUCAGCUUGUUGGUGGGGUAGUGGCUUACCAAGGCUUUGACGGGUAGCCGGCCUGAGAGGGUGACCGGCCAAAUUGGGACUGAGAUACGGCCCAGACUCCUACGGGAGGCAGCAGUGGGGAAUAUUGCACAAUGGUCGGAAGCCUGAUGCAGCAACGCCGCGUGCGGGAUGACGGCCUUCGGGUUGUAAACCGCUUUCGCCUGUGACGAAGCGUGAGUGACGGUAAUGGGUAAAGAAGCACCGGCUAACUACGUG